GCAAGUCGAACGGAGUAAUGACUUCGGUAUUACUAGUGGCGAACGGGUGAGUAACACGUGAAUAAUCUGCCCUGUACGAUGGGAUAACAGCUGGAAACGGCUGCUAAUACCGUAGUAUGACCACGCCGAAGGCAUCUCGGAGGGGUGAAAGCGCUUAAGCGGUACAGGAUGAGUUCGCGUCCAAUUAGCUAGUUGGUGAGGUAACGGCCCACCAAGGCGACGAUUGGUAGCCGACCUGAGAGGGUGAUCGGCCACACUGGAACUGAGACACGGUCCAGACUCCUACGGGAGGCAGCAGUGGGGAAUAUUGGGCAAUGGAGGAAACUCUUACCCAAGGCAAUGCCGCGUGAGUGAUUGAAGGUCUUCGGAUUGUAAAGCUCUUUGAUUGGGGACGAAUAAAUGACGGUACCCAAGGAACAAGCCCCGGCUAACUAUGUGCCAGCAGCAGC
rnacentral:rRNA from 1 species